GUGAAGAUUUGUAUGGAAGAGCCCAGAUUCCAAGCUAAUUUUCCACAGACUUGGCUUUGGAUUUCUGGACCUUUGUGCCUGUACUGUGCUGAAAGACUUUACAGGUAUAUGCGGAGCAAUAAGCCAGUCACCAUCAUUUUGGUCAUAAGUCAUCCCUCAGAUGUCAUGGAAAUCCGGAUGGUCAAAGAAAAUUUUAAAGCAAGACCUGGUCAGUGUCCAACUGAAACCAAAGCAACAUUUGGGGUUCAUCUUAAAAUAGUAGAAGACUGGACA
rnacentral:lncRNA from 1 species